CUUUAUUAAAGAAGAGUUUAAAAUAACUGUGAGAUCGCUUCUCGGCCUUUUGGCUAAGAUCAAGUGUAAAAUAACUGUGAGUCACAUGUCAUCAAACAAAGGAAAUAGACCACAUGCCUGAGCAG
rnacentral:miRNA from 14 species